rnacentral:rRNA from 1 species
GACGAACGCUGGCGGCGUGCUUAACACAUGCAAGUCGAACGGAAAGGCCCCUUUGGGGGUACUCGAGUGGCUAACGGGUGAGUAACACGUGAGUAACCUGCCCUUGACUUCGGGAUAACUUCAGGAAACUGGGGCUAAUACCGGAUAGGAAUCCUUGCUGCAUGGUGGGGGUUGGAAAGCUUCGGCGGUUUUGGAUGGACUCGCGGGUUAUCAGCUUGUUGGUGGGGUAGUGGCUUACCAAGGCUUUGACGGGUAGCCGGCCUGAGAGGGCGACCGGCCACAUUGGGACUGAGAGACGGCCCAGACACCUACGGGAGGCAGAAGUGGGGAAUAUUGCACAAUGGGCGGAAGCCGGAUGCAGCAACGCCGCGUGCGGGAUGACGGACUUCGGGUUGUAAACCGGUUUCAGCAGGGGCGAAGCUUGUGGUGACGGUACCUGCAGAAGAAGCACCGGCUAACUACGUG